rnacentral:rRNA from 1 species
CCUACGGGAGGCAGCAGUGAGGAAUAUUGGUCAAUGGGCGCUAGCCUGAACCAGCCAAGUAGCGUGAAGGAUGACUGCCCUAUGGGUUGUAAACUUCUUUUAUAUGGGAAUAAAGUGCAGUAUGUAUACUGCUUUGCAUGUACCUUAUGAAUAAGGAUCGGCUAACUCCGUGCCAGCAGCCGCGGUAAUACGGAGGAUUCGAGCGUUAUCCGGAUUUAUUGGGUUUAAAGGGAGCGUAGGCGGGUUGUUAAGUCAGUUGUGAAAGUUUGCGGCUCAACCGUAAAAUUGCAGUUGAUACUGGCAGCCUUGAGUACAGUAGAGGUAGGCGGAAUUCGUGGUGUAGCGGUGAAAUGCUUAGAUAUCACGAAGAACUCCGAUUGCGAAGGCAGCUUGCUGCAGCGGAACUGACGCUGAUGCUCGAAAGCGCGGGUAUCGAACAGGAUUAGAUACCCCAGUAGUC